rnacentral:lncRNA from 1 species
AAAAACAUCGGAAAUUCAACCACUAACAAAAUCUAAAAAAAAUACAAACCAUUAAAUAACAAUCGAAUUAAAUUAAUAAUAAAAAUAAAAUAAAAUAGCAAGAUACUAUAUAGAAAAAGAAAUUAAAUAAAAUGGUAAGCAUAACAAAUUUGAGUAUGAUUAUUUACACGUGUAAAAGUAUAGAUAUGGGUACUAAUAACCCAACUAAAUUAGUUAACACACAAAAAUCAACUAAUCGAAUAAAAAACAUCGGAAAUUCAACCACUAACAAAAUCUAAAAAAAAUACAAACCAUAUUAAAUUAAUAAUAAAAAUAAAAUAAAAUAGCAAGAUACUAUAUAGAAAAAGAAAUUAAAUAAAAUGGUAAGCAUAACAAACACAAAG